UGCACUGUUUCAAAGAAAAGCUCAUAACGUGCAGAAAGUCUCUUCAAAUCAAAUAAAUCCCUUUCUGGAAACUGCCACAUCAGCCAAAUUUGCCAAAGAGAGGAAGUUUUUUGCUACUGUCUAAAGUUCCAUGUGUUCCUUCGGAAACUUCUUUUGAAGAAAUACACAUAUAGGACCGCCUGGGACCUACUUCCCCAAAUUAGUGAGGCUGUGUGCUCACCUGAAUAAGCAUUGAGUUCCCAUUGAAUAGGAAAUGAGAUACAUGGGGAAAUCAGUGAACCAUGAUGGAGUGAAGGGAGAGUUAUCUGAAUCAAUAUAUGUACCACUGACAUUAUUUUUGCAGAAUCACAGAGGAGUUGUGAUGGGAAAGAACCUCUGGAGAGCAUCUUGUCUAACUCUCUUGCUCAAAACAGGAUCAACUGGAACAGGAUAUUCAGGGCUGUGUCUAGACAGGUUUUGAGUAUCUCCAAGGACAGAGAGUCUGCGACCUCUCUUGGCAACUUGCUCAAGGACUCACUCCAGUAUGCCCAUGUAUCUCUUGUACUGGGUGGGGUCUGUUGAGAUCCCUCUGAAUGGCAGCACAACCGUCUGAUACAUCAGCCACCCCUCCCAGUUUUCUAUCAUCUGCAAACUUGCUGAGGAUGCACUCAGUCCCAUCAUUAAUGAAGAAGUUAAACAGUUCUGGACCCACUAUAAAUUCCUGGGCUAUGCCACUAGUCAAUGGCCACCAUCUCCAUUUUAUUCUGCUGGUCACAACCCUUUAAGCCUUUUCCUAUAAAUGGGAACAGGCAAAUUGGAUGGAAAUUCACAUUAUUAAAAUAUCUAGAUUACUCACUGGAGCACUUCUCUUGAUUGAGAAAGGCAUCAUCCCCAAAAGGUUGUGCUCCACCUUGGAGUUGUAAUUUCCAGGUCAGAAAAGCUUCAUACUAAUUGGAAAAUCCCUCAUGUACUGGGAAUACCUGGAGCUGUGCCUUCAUUUUUUGCUCACCUAUCCUUACUGAGCCCUCUAUGCUUGGCUGUCAGUUACUUCUGAAACUUAAUCACAGCUAGCAAAAUCCCUACACUCAUACAGGGUCAAACUUUGCUCAUUAAAUGUCUUGGUCCCAGCUUUUGAGAGAGGCAAUGCCAGAGCUGAGAUGUCAAUACUCAGAACACCUGGGAUGGCACAGCUCGUGCCACCCACACUGUCAAUGUUGUGCAUCUCACAGCUGAACAGAACACAGAACCUAGACCCCAGUUAGGAGGACAGAACAAAAACCCCAGUACUAUCACAUCCUCUAUAGUGAACUGUACAAAAUCACACUGAUGCUUCAGCUUGCAUCCAGAAAUACUGCUUUUGUUUUUGUGGGGUAUUACAACCACAUAAUUAAAUCUUUUCUGCUCAGGUUUUGUAAUCAGCCUACCCACAUCUGCACCCGUGGUGUUGACUUUCCUUCCAGCAGUUAAGUCUCAUACUGAGUUUUCAGAGCCAGUUACUGUAGCUGGUCCCUUCAUCUGCAUAAAGAAUUAUGCCUGCACAUCCAAGGGGGCAACAAAAUAAACCCCCUCAGACUACUCAGUGUCAGAGCAUGAGGCUCUCCUCUAGAUUUCUCUUUCUUUAGAACUUCAUCAACAACUACUGAUGGAAGAAAUUGUUUCAUGUUUCAGCUACAAAGUUGUGAAAGUCAAGCUGCAACUGGGAGUUAUUUCACGGGAUGUGGUAUGUCAGGAGAAGGACGUACACACCAGAAGAAUGCCUCUCCCUGUGUCUUUAUUUUAUUUCUAAGUUUUGUAGUCCUGUAAGACUUAGUCCUAUAAUACCAGCUUUGCACUCACCAAGGUAUAACCUUUAUGAACCUAACUCUAUCCAGCAAACACCCCCUGUCUUCAGCCUUCAAAGGGGUGAAGGAAUACUACUGCUUUAUACCACAUUAUUUAGGGGCUUCCUAGAGUUCAAUAUAUUAAUGCAGUUCACUCCAUUCAGCAGCAAAUCUAUUUUGUCUUUAGGAAGGUUAUAUUCAGCUGUGCAGAAUGUGAGAAAUAAUCCCAGUCAUGUCAGGCAAUUAAAGUAGUAUUAUUCCUUACAACUUUAGUUCUUAAUUUACUGUUUGAAUCCCUACACUGUUAAGUCAAAUAUUUUUAUAGAAAAAAUCAACGUGGCAACACACAAUAAUGUUAAAGCCUUACACCUCCUACAUCUUUUUUUUCUGUAUGAGAGCAUUAGAGUCUGGCAUGCAAACAAGAUAAUUUAAUAUUUAACCUGAAAUUUAGGCAAUGAGAUUGUUCUUAAACUUAUAGAUGAAUUAAUCAUUUAAUGAGGCUUAUUUAAAUUAUAGAAUUUAUUAAAGGGAUAAUUAAGGUUAAUUAUUUUUUUUUCCUUAGUUUUCCAGCUUUCCAUGCCUUUGUUUGCAGUCAGUCAUUUGCAACAUUUUAAAAAUUGAAUUGUGAGCUGGAAUUUUCCAGACUUAUUUAGAGCUCAGUGGCAGUUCUGGGGAGGAGUGAAGAUCCAAGUAAAAUUGGUUUAGAUGCUUAUGAUUUCAGACCAGAAAUGAACAACAUUCUUCAGCCUGGCUACUGAUCUUUCAUGGGAAUAAUUUGAAAACAGAUGAAUAUGUUUUGUUCUAACUUGGCUUAUGAUUUCUUGGGUAUAUUCCUUUAAU